GCCAACGCCCAUCACACCCAGUGGGGUUGCCCAAACAACAACGACAGAGCAGUCUAAGGCUGGCCUACUAAUCGCGGCCAGUGAGCUCGUGGGCGUGGGGAGGCCCGGAGCAGGAGCAGUGAAUUGUGGGGGUCAAAUGAAGUGUCAGCAGUUUGGCUAGCGCUCAGUCCUCGGAUAUUGACUCUCAGUCCGGUUGACAUUAGUUAACUUGUAUAUUAUUUUGGAACUUCACCGACAGGAAGCAAUUCCACAACAGGGCAAAUCCGCAGAGUAGCUGAAGUGCUGGAAGAGAUCCACUAGAGAACUCCAGUGGGUAGUGACAUGCCGAGUGGGACUUCGCUCCGUACAUGGACAUCCUUCCGGGCGUGUUCUCUCAAUGAAACAGAACCACCAGAACGUUCGACCACCAACAAGUUCUCCAUUGGGGAACCAUAGGACUCCACCUCCACCAGCUAUUUUGCAGCUACAGCGGAGUUGGAGGACGCGCUCGCUUCUAUAUGGAGAAGGAAAAAAGGGCGCCCCCUAAGGGACAGCUGGAGGAGCCAUUGCCAUGAUGCUAGGCGACUUCCUGCAGCAACAGGAGGAACAGCCCCUCAAGGUCCAUUAUGCCUAUUGGGACUCCGAGCUGCACUAAGAAAGGAAGAGAAGGAAGCUUUAAACUACUAUUUUACAUUAAUAAUAUACAUUGAGCAUUCCA